rnacentral:rRNA from 1 species
CCUACGGUGGGCUGCAGUGAGGAAUAUUGGUCAAUGGGCGCGAGCCUGAACCAGCCAAGUAGCGUGAAGGAUGACUGCCCUACGGGUUGUACACUUCUUUUAUAAAGGAAUAAAGUGAGGCACGUGUGCCUUUUUGUAUGUACUUUAUGAAUAAGGAUCGACUAACUCCGUGCCAGCAGCCGCGGUAAUACGGAGGAUCCGAGCGUUAUCCGGAUUUAUUGGGUUUAAAGGGAGCGUAGAUGGGUUGUUAAGUCAGUUGUGAAAGUUUGCGGCUCAACCGUAAAAUUGCAAUUGAUACUGGCAGUCUUGAGUACAGUUGAGGUAGGCGGAAUUCGUGGUGGAGCGGUGAAAUGCUUAGAUAUCACGAAGAACCCCGAUUGCGAAGGCAGCUUACUAAACUGUGACUGACAUUGAUGCUCGAAAGUGUGGGUAUCAAACAGGAUUAGAUACCCUAGUAGUC